UGGUAGUNCACGCCCUAAACGAUGUCGAUUAGCUGUUGGGCAGCUUGACUGCUUAGUAGCGUAGCUAACGCGUGAAAUCGACCGCCUGGGGAGUACGGUCGCAAGAUUAAAACUCAAAGGAAUUGACGGGGACCCGCACAAGCGGUGGAUGAUGUGGAUUAAUUCGAUGCAACGCGAAGAACCUUACCUGGUCUUGACAUGUACGGAACCCUCCAGAGACGGAGGGGUGCCUUCGGGAACCGUAACACAGGUGCUGCAUGGCUGUCGUCAGCUCGUGUCGUAAGAUGUUGGGUUAAGUCCCGCAACGAGCGCAACCCUUGUCAUUAGUUGCCAUCAUUCAGUUGGGCACUCUAAUGAGACUGCCGGUGACAAACCGGAGGAAGGUGGGGAUGACGUCAAGUCCUCAUGGCCCUUAUGACCAGGGCUUCACACGUCAUACAAUGGUCGGUACAAAGGGUAGCCAAGCCGCGAGGCGGAGCCAAUCUCAUAAAACCGAUCGUAGUCCGGAUUGCACUCUGCAACUCGAGUGCAUGAAGUCGGAAUCGCUAGUAAUCGCAGGUCAGCAUACUGCGGUGAAUACGUUCCCGGGUCUUGUACACACCGCCCGUCACACCAUGGGAGUGGGGGAUACCAGA
rnacentral:rRNA from 1 species